GUGGGGAAUCUUGCGCAAUGGGCGAAAGCCUGACGCAGCCAUGCCGCGUGAAUGAUGAAGGUCUUAGGAUUGUAAAAUUCUUUCACCGGGGACGAUAAUGACGGUACCCGGAGAAGAAGCCCCGGCUAACUUCGUGCCAGCAGCCGCGGUAAUACGUAGGGGACGAGCGUUGUCCGGAUUUACUGGGCGUAAAGGGCGCGUAGGCGGUCAUUUAAGUCAGCUGUGAAAUGGUUUGGCUUAACCGGAUCACGCGGUUGAAACUGGAUGACUGGGGUGCUGGAGAGGCAAGUGGAAUUCCCAGUGUAGCGGUGAAAUGCGUAGAUAUUGGGAAGAACACCGGUGGCGAAGGCGACUUGCUGGCCAGUAACUGACGCUGAGGCGCGAAAGCCAGGGGAGCAAACGGGAUUAGAUACCCUGGUAGUCC
rnacentral:rRNA from 1 species